AGGAAAGUUUGAGUGUGAAUGCAAGAAAGUUGAAAAGUGGGUGUGAUUUUUCUUUCUCUAGCCAUACAAGUAUCCACCCCAAAUUUUCCACUCUCCUUAUCUGAUUUUGCUGCCCCAAAAGUCUUCUCCCAUAUCUAAUCUUCUUGGCUGCACCAGACAAGAAAGUCCAGCUCCUUUACUUCUUUCUCUAUUCCUCUUUCUUUGCUCUUCUUUCUCUCUUCUUCCUUUGUUCUUACAUGGCAGCCCUCCCUCUCUCACCAAAACAAAAUAUCCCUCUCUAAAGAAGAAAUUAAAGGGUUAACACUAAAAUUUCAGCUUUAAAUUGUUGGGGGUGUUACCAGUAUCCAAGUCUAAGCUCCUUCGAC